rnacentral:rRNA from 1 species
UACGAAGGGGGGCUAGCGUUGUUCGGAAUUACUGGGCGUAAAGCGUGCGCAGGCGGCUUCUCAAGUCAGGGGUGAAAGCCCAGAGCUCAACUCUGGAAUUGCCUUUUGAGACUGAGUGGCUUGAGUACGAGAGAGGUGAGUGGAAUUCCCAGUGUAGAGGUGAAAUUCGUAGAUAUUCGGAAGAACACCAGUGGCGAAGGCGGCUCACUGGACCGUUGUUGACGCUGAGGUGCGAAAGCGUGGGGAGCAAACAGG